AGGUCUUGGGGAAUGAGACUGGACUGCAGCUGCUGGCUUAAUGAGGAGUUCUGAGGCUGAGCAGCAGAUUAUGCAGAAUUUCCUGUUCUUGUCAUGGUUGAAGGGAGAAGGAAGGGAGCAGGGGCACAGAGGUCCUCCCCAGAUCCAGUCCUGCACACCCUCGUGCCUGGAGGCUCACCGUCAGACUCCCCAGGAUGGGAAAGAUGUGUUUCUUGCCUGUCUUAUGUACACAGACUGCUUUUCCAUGGAGGAUUUCCAAGGGCGAUAUUGUUGUUCUCAGUGGGGUUGAACCUAAGGGGGUGAAGAAAGAAUGGAGAUUACAUGGAGAAGAAUUGGUGCAAGAGAGUG